CCUACGGGAGGCUGCAGUGGGGAAUAUUGGACAAUGGGGGCAACCCUGAUCCAGCCAUGCCGCGUGUGUGAAGAAGGCCCUCGGGUUGUAAAGCACUUUCAGUGAGGAAGAACGCCUGGUGGUUAAUACCCAUCAGGAAAGACAUCACUCACAGAAGAAGCACCGGCUCACUCCGUGCCAGCAGCCGCGGUAAUACGGAGGGUGCGAGCGUUAAUCGGAAUUACUGGGCGUAAAGCGCGCGUAGGUGGCUUGAUAAGCCGGUUGUGAAAGCCCCGGGCUCAACCUGGGAACGGCAUCCGGAACUGUCAAGCUAGAGUGCAGGAGAGGAAGGUGGAAUUCCCGGUGUAGCGGUGAAAUGCGUAGAGAUCGGGAGGAAUACCAGUGGCGAAGGCGGCCUUCUGGACUGACACUGACACUGAGGUGCGAAAGCGUGGGUAGCAAACAGGAUUAGAUACCCGAGUAGUC
rnacentral:rRNA from 1 species